rnacentral:rRNA from 1 species
UGGCGACCGGCGCACGGGUGCGUAACGCGUAUGCAACCUACCUUUAACAGGGGAUAACACUGAGAAAUUGGUACUAAUACCCCAUAAUAUCAUAGAAGGCAUCUUUUAUGGUUGAAAAUUCCGAUGGUUAGAGAUGGGCAUGCGUUGUAUUAGCUAGUUGGUGGGGUAACGGCUCACCAAACCUUCGAUGGAUAGGGGUUCUGAGAGGAAGGUCCCCCACAUUGGAACUGAGACACGGUCCAA